rnacentral:lncRNA from 1 species
CACUUCUGUUAUCUGAAUAUACCACAACUUGUUUAUCCAUUCACCUCCUUUUUUUUUUUUUUUGAGCGGGGUGGGAGGCUUUUAUUUCACUGUGUGUCGGUGGAGGGGGUCUGGAGAGAGGGCAGCAGGCAGGGCAGGAGGGGCUGGAAGGUGGAAAGGGGCUGGGCAGGGGGAGGGCUGCCCCCAGGCCUGUUGGGAAGAGGAUACUGGGACUGAUCCCUGCUGGGACCUCACCCUGGGGGUGGGGUGGGAAUCGGGUCUGGAGCAAUAAGGGCCCCCUUGCUCCGGGCUGGAUGUGAGGUCAGGGCCCUGCCUUGCUUUCCUCCAAUAGGGCUCAGUCCCUCCUGCUCGUGGGGCCAUGUGACCCCCAAACCUCACUGCCCCUGCCCCAGAGGAGGGGGCUAGGCCAGUUAGGGCAGUGGAUAGGGAGCCUGGGGGUGUUAGGGAGCACAGGGUGGGGGUCCACGGUGAGUGGAGGGGAUGGUGGCCACCUGGGCGGUCAGUUCCUGGCAGCAAUGACCACAGAGAGAGCCACGCCCCCCAAGGCGACAGCAGUUGCCCCAAACAGCCACUUCCAUGGGAUGGACCAGGCACCCUUGCCAGGACACUUGGCAGGCAGCCGGCUGGGGUUGCCCAGCAUCUUCCAGUACAGGGCGGUCUCAGUGCUCCUCUGGGCCGCAUGCUUCUUCACCAGCUUCAGGGCUGCUCUCAAGAUGGGGAUGGCCUCACUAUACUCGCCUUGCUGGGCCAGCACCUUGCCCUUGCGGAAGAGAGCCUUGAUGUUGUCAGGCUGGUGCUCCAGCACGAGGCUGCAGGAGCGCAGCAAUGCGCGGUAGUGAUCCAGCUUCAGCUUCGAGGCCGCCAGGUUGUUCAGACACUUCACCUUCAGCUGCAGGAGCUGCUCCUCCUCCUCGAAUGUCAUGUCCACUUUGGCACUGGAAGUGAUGGCCUUGAUGGCGAGGUCGUAGGAGUUGGCAGCCAGCACGAUGUCGGCCCGCUGAUAGUGAGCAUUGCCACACUCCCACUUCCGGUUGGCCAGGGCCACACGCUCCUGCCCCGUGAGCAUCUCCAGGUCAGGCCCAUCCACAGCAGUCUUCAGAGUCACCUCCAGGCACAGGGCCGCAUGUGGGGGGAUGUAUGGGCUCCUGCUGCCCUGGGGGCCAUAGCAGUACUUGGAGUCAGCAGUGAACACCAGCUCCGGCUCCUCCUGUACCCGCGUGCCAUUCUCCAGCGACGUCUGCAGCCGCACAGUGACCACCUGGGCUGCUCAGCCUCCUCCAGUGGGGGCUGCCCCACAUCCUCAAGUGGCGGCAGUUCACUCAGGUCCUCCUCUUCUUCCUCCUCCUCGCCCUCAGCGUCUUCCACCCCGUCCAGCACCUCGAAGUCCUCAAGUGGUGGGACCCCAGCAGGUGGCGGAGCAGUGGACUCAGGGUCUGCAGCAGAGGGCUCAGCACAGGAUGCCAUGCUGCUGGGGGGAUGGGAACUGGCCCUCCCUCGCGGCCCUUCACCCCACCUAGCAGUCGCAGCCCCUCACCCCGCCUAGCAGUCGCAGCCCCUAGACUAGCC